rnacentral:rRNA from 1 species
GAUGAACGCUGGCGGCGUGCCUAAUACAUGCAAGUCGAGCGAACAGACGAGGAGCUUGCUCCUCUGAUGUUAGCGGCGGACGGGUGAGUAACACGUGGAUAACCUACCUAUAAGACUGGGAUAACUUCGGGAAACCGGAGCUAAUACCGGAUAACAUGUUGAACCGCAUGGUUCAACAGUGAAAGACGGUCUUGCUGUCACUUAUAGCUGGAUCCGCGCCGCAUUAGCUAGUUGGUAAGGUAACGGCUUACCAAGGCAACGAUGCGUAGCCGACCUGAGAGGGUGAUCGGCCACACUGGAACUGAGACACGGUCCAGACUCCUACGGGAGGCAGCAGUAGGGAAUCUUCCGCAAUGGGCGAAAGCCUGACGGAGCAACGCCGCGUGAGUGAUGAAGGUCUUCGGAUCGUAAAACUCUGUUAUUAGGGAAGAACAAAUGUGUAAGUAACUAUGCACGUCUUGACGGUACCUAAUCAGAAAGCCACGGCUAACUACGUG